rnacentral:rRNA from 1 species
AUUGAACGCUGGCGGCAUGCUUUACACAUGCAAGUCGAACGGCAGCGCGGGCUUCGGCCUGGCGGCGAGUGGCGAACGGGUGAGUAAUGCAUCGGAACGUGCCCAGUAGUGGGGGAUAGCCCGGCGAAAGCCGGAUUAAUACCGCAUACGACCUGAGGGUGAAAGCGGGGGACCGAAAGGCCUCGCGCUAUUGGAGCGGCCGAUGUCGGAUUAGCUAGUUGGUGGGGUAAAGGCUUACCAAGGCGACGAUCCGUAGCUGGUCUGAGAGGACGACCAGCCAAACUUGGACUGGGACCAGGCCCCAGAUCCUAAGGGAGGGAGCCGUGGGGAAAUUUGGACAAUGGGGGCAAACCUGGUCCAAGCCAGGCGCGGGGGGGAAAAAGGCCUUCGGGGUUGAAAACGGUUUUGUUCGGGAAGAAAACCUUUGGGCUAAAAACCCGGGGGGAAGAAGGUAACGGAAGAAUAAGCACCGGCUAACUACGUG